UUCUCUAAAAUUCUUCGUUUAAACUGAUUUGUGCAGAAACAGAGGUGAUGUGUAGAAGUAAAAUUAUUCAGUAGGUCAGUUCAAUAAAAUCAUUCGAGUUGUAUACACAUAUAUAAAAAGCUCAAAAAAAUUUAGAAAAUUUAGAUUCUGUACCCUUAUCCAGCAAAAUCAAAACUAUUUAUUUCUUUUUUUCUUCAUAGUCCAGAAUCAAGAAUACCCUAAGCAAAAAUGUGUGGACCUUGUGGAGGUUGCUGCGGAGGCUGUGGCCCAUGCUGUCCUUGCAUCACUAUUUACACGUGCUGUACGAAGAUCUGUUAGUUUUUCGUCUCCAAGUCUGCUGCAGUUGUAUAGGGUGUUAAGCAUACCUGUUACGUGCAUUAUGUGAAAAUAAAGUUUUUUUUUAA